rnacentral:ncRNA from 1 species
CAAGCGUUAAGUGUCCCUGGGAUGGGAUGUUGCCCGGGAACGAAAACUUACUGAGUUGCGAUUUGAUAUUGCAUCCGCUA